AGUAACAAUUUCAUGAUCAAAUUGGCAAUUUGAACUUAGGGUUUUCCCCCUUUCUUCCACCUCUAUCUCUUCUUCCAUUUUCUUUUCUGUACUCAAACUAAGGGAGGAACAAGGAACCUUUUUUAUAUUCAACACCCCCCUCAAAUUGGAGGGGAGGGAAACGGAGACCAAACUUGCUAAUUAAGGACUGAUGAGAGACAUCAGACAACGGUUUAGUGAAUAAAUCAGCUAGCUGAGAUGAAGCUGGUACAAAUGACAGAGAAAUUAAUCUGGCAAGGUACUGUUGUCGAACGAAUUGCAAUCCAGUUCCACGUGCUUAGUACGUUGGUGGAAAACUGGAUUGCGAGCAAUUUGAUGGCGGCUUGGCAGUCAGACAACACUGAAAUUGGAAGAGUCGGAGAACAACCAGAAUAGGUCAACAAUCGAUCAAGCCAGGUGAUACAACUUAGCACCAUUAACUUGUCCAAACCUUGCCUCAGGGUCAUUCCAAAGUUCCUCAGCAGAUUUUGAAUAAAGAACAUUGUCUGAGAUUUCUCUGGACAGGAAAUUUAGGUCACCAUAUCAUUGCACCUGUUCCAAAAUUUGAAUUCAGUGCUGUUGAGAGAAGGUGAUUUGUUGCUACCAUCAAUAAAUCCAAGUUUAUUCUUUCUGACAGAGCAAUCAAGACAAUUCUCUUCCAACCACCAUAUCCUUUCCCUUCAAACAUGGAGUUCACCAAGGAGAUCCCUGGUGAGUCUGAAGGGUGGAGGAAAUAUGGGCUGCUACUGUCUAUGGCAGUAGAUGCAGCAGUAGCAUUGGUAAUGUAUGCUAUUUCAGAUUCAACCAUUUUGAAGAAACAAGAUGAACAACCAACAAAAAAAAAAACAGUGAAAGCAGAAAAUCUAGAAAAACAAGAAUAUUAGAAAUCAAAUCUGCAAAUCUGUAAAUUAGUAUUGCUCUGAUACCAUGUUGGAAAACAAAAUCAAAGAACACAAGAAUGUAAAAAUUUCCGGAUGCUUUAUUGAUCAAUCUGUUCAUGUGUUUAUACAAAGAA